UAGUGAUUGGCUGCCGCAUCCUGGGGCACUUCAUUCCACAUCAUUGGGGCACUUUGGCCAGACACUAAAAUGACAGCGGCAGCGCUUGACCAGGACUAUCCACUGCCAGGUUCAUUCCGAUCCAGGAAAGGAGUUGUCUCAUGCUGACAGGUGACAUGUGAUGUACUGAGACACAGAAGGGGAUUGGCUUAGCAAUUGAAGUGAGCCACACAGCCAGCCACACAGGGGAAAGCAUGAUAAAUCCUAAAGUAAGAAGAGACUGAUAGCGGGACAUCGGGGCAACUAUAACACUUGUCCAGAAAUGCUGAGGAUUUUGUGCUCUUCAGUGAGCGAAGCUUUCUCC